CUUCCUCCUCCCCGUACCUAUUCCUCCCCUCACCCCUCCCCCUCCUCCUGAUUUCUCCAUCUCAGUUAAGGGCAUCUUUACCCUCCUAACCACCCAAACUAAGACCUUUGGUUUCCGUCCCCUCCCUUUCAACCCAGACAGCCUAAAUGUCGCCAAAACCAAAAUAGGCUCUCACUCUGGUCCUUUUCUCCACCCAGAUUGCUCCUGUCUGACUGUGCCUCCCUCUGGCACAGUCCUCCCCAGUCCCCGGCCUUUCCUAUCAUCCUUGAUGCUCUGACAACGCAGUGUUCAUUCCGGUUGAGAGGCAGCCCCAGACAGUGGCAAGUGCACAGGCCGUGGCGGCACAAGUCCUGGGUUCUGAUUCGACUGUCCCUGGGAGACCCUGAGCAGGAGAGAGGUUUCUCCAGGCCUCGUUUGCUCCUCCUCUGGGGGGAGCCAGCACGAUAAUACACGGUGCUCCAGCCCCUCUGCGGAAACUUAGGUCUGGAUACAUUUGAAGUGGACAUUCUCUCCCACAAACCCACACCAGAUAAAUUGUCCAGGAUCUUUCCCCACUUUGUGUUUUGCAAGAUGGUGAGAAAGGCAGUUUUCUGCACUUAAAGAAUGGUGAUGUUUGCCACCUGUAAGU